GAGCAAUCCAAUUCAACCGUUUGUGAUCAGGAUUGACCAAUCAGCGUUGCCAUCUAUAUGCGGCAGCAAAUCAGCAUUGGAGCAAAAGUCUGACGGACACGUUCUCUUAAAAUGGCUGACAGAACGUGCUUCUGUGAUAUAGAGGCAAGUUACUCACUUGAGACAUCGGCAUCUGAAAAAUGAUUUGUUGCAAAGUUAUACAUGAGAAGCCUCUGAGAAGUUUCAACAAUUCGGUUCUGAAUUUAAACAAAUAGAUGGUAAAUUGGAUUCUAUUCAGCAAACUCUUAAUGAACACGAUAAAUGUAUAAAAAAUAAUGAAGCAAUGCUGUGGUCUCUGGAAAUGGAAGUGGAUGAACUGCAAAAGCUUUGUGAAAAGCAAAGUCCAAUGAAAAAUUAAGACAGAAGAUUAUCAACAUAGAAAAUAGAAGUGGAAGGAACAACCUACGGGUUCUGGGUCUUGAAGAAUUAAUCAAAGAAACUAAUAAAAAUAUUGGAAAAUAAAGAAUAAAAGAAAGACCAACACCUAAUGUUCAGAGGAAGAGAAGAAAGUAACACACAAGUCAUGCAAGCAACAGCAUACCAAACCAAAUUGCAUCCACGGAUCUGAAUCCCUGAAGCAGCUGGAGUGGGCCCAAAGCCUCGGUUUCAAUUCAUCAUAUUAGCAGAGCAAAUCACCGUGAAGCUCACAAACAUGAAGCACAGCAGCUCGAACAACUACAGUCAUGGUGGAAAUCAUUUCAGUUUGCAGGUGGUGACAAAUUGGCAUAUAUAGGACUGAGAUUGAAAAUCUGCUUGAAUGGUGACCCAACAAUAAACUCACACUCAACAUCAACAAAACCAAAUUAUUGACAACAGGAGGAAGAAACUGGAGGUCCAUGAGCCAGACCUCAUCAGGGGAUCGCAUGUGGAGAUGGUCAGUAACAACGCUCCCUCUAAUUUUAUUUUACAGCUGCACAGAACAAUCAUUGCUCUGAGCAGGAAAUUUUUACAGCUGUGCUGCAUGGCUGUGCACCCACGCAGGUUAGAAGGAACAGUGUUCAGUAACUUUAAAUUCCUUGGCGUUAUCAUUUCGGAGGAUCUGUACUGGGACCAGUUCGCAAGUGCCAUUACAAACGAAGGCACAGCAACACCUCUACUUUCUUAAAAGUUUGCACACAUCCAGCAUGUCAUCUAAGCCUUUGACAGACUUCUAUAGAUGUGCAGUGGAGAGUAUACUGACUGAUUGCACCACAGCUUGGUGUGGAAACACCAAUGCCAAUAAAUGGAGAAGUCUACAAAAAAAGUGGAUAGGGCCCAGCCCAUCAUAGGAGAAGCCUUCCCCAUAUCUCCAUCAAGUGCUGUCACAUGAAAGCAGCAUGCAUCAUCAAGGACCCCCACCAUACAGGCCAUGCUUUCUCCUCACUGCUGCCUUUGGGAAGGAUGUGCAGGAGCCUUUGGUUCCACACCACCAGGUUCAGGAGCAGUUAUUACAUUUCAACCAUCAGGCUCCUUAACUAUUCCACAGCCUAUGGACUCACUUUCAAGGACUCUAUAUCUCAUGUUCUCAAUAUUAUUUAUUUAUUAGUAUUCACUUUUUGUAAUUUCACAGUCUGUCUUCAUAUGCAAAUUGGAUGUUUGUCCUUUGUUUAUGUGUAGCUUUUCAAUGCUUCUGUUGUGUUUCUUUGUGUCUGCUGUGAAGGCCUGCCAGAAAAUGAAUGUCAGUGUAUGAAUACAGAAAUGAACUCAGAUAAUAAAUUUACUUUGAACAUUGAAGACUUUGGGAAGUUCUGAAAACAACAUUAAAACUAGUUGAAUUAGCAAAAAUAAUUGUUAUGCUUCUGCAAUUCUAGCUUUAUGUUGCUCCACAGCAGUAAAUUCAAUUUACAGACAUUCAGAUAAGAAAUGGAACAAAAGGAACUGAAAGAGGUUUGCAUUUUAUUACACCAUAAAAUAUAACUUUCAUGUCAGCUCUUUCUCUCUUUGUCCUUUGCAAUGCGACAUUGCUCUAGUAAUUGGAAGCCAUGGGGAUAGCUUAGUCUUAAUUUCCCUUAAACAACAUAAUUAUAAACACAUUUUCUUAGAAUUUUAUUUAACAAUCUUUAAAAAAGGAUUGUGUAAUACCAUAAAGAACUUUUCAUUUAAUGAACUGCUUAUUCUCCACUGCUGUGCACUUGAAAUAAUUUGUGUUGUUCAUAAUGCAGUUUUUAUCCUUAAGGCAUUUGCAAUGUAAAAAGAAUAAUAUUGUAUAAAACUCAUGGAAGUUAAAAAUUCAGCCACAUCAUAAUUGAAGAUGUAUGCAAAUAAAAUGUAAUUUUGCUGGAUGUAAACCAAACUUUCCAUAAAGACUGGCAAGACUGAAUUUCAACAGUAAAACUGUUUUUUUGGAUGGAUUUUACUUUACAAGUACACUUGAAUUGAAGAUUAUUUUCUCAUUGGAGCAGAGCAAAUGGACUAAAACACCACAGAAAUAUUGGAUCUUAUUGCUUUUGUCCCAUGGGAUUUUGCAAGAUUGUAAAAAGCCAAGGAAGGAGGAGAAUACUGUUACACAAAUGGAUUGUGAUUGCCAGAAUUCUGGGUGAACAGCAGGAGUCAGUUUUCUUCCUGAGAAAAAGAAGUUUUCUUUCUUGUGCCCAAUUUACAACAAAUAUGAUUUAUUUCAAAACACAGCAUCCUAUAUUUAAAAACAUAAUCUUAUUCUUAACUUCAGCAUACUUUUAUUUUAAAUAUAGUUUAAUGUUACAUUCAAAUAAAAAAUGAAGAGACUGAGUGCUGAAUUUUGGACACUCCUCUCUAUUUGGAAGUCAUCUCAUCCCACCAGGAGACUGAGAAGAAGCAAUUUAUUUUGGAUUUUAACUCAGGAUAGGAAUCAGACAGGUGAGAAAUAAACCACCCAAAAGUCAUCCAUAAAAUACUUGUGCGAUUUUAUCUCUUCAGGGUAACUUUGCUUGGCCCAGUCAGUUGUCUGCCCAAAGUAGCAGACAGUUCUUGACCAGGGGCUAGUGUGUAACAACAGAUAACAGAAUGUUGUUCAUGGAAACUUAAGCAAUAGCUUUUGACACUAUAAGCUGAUAGAAAGAGGGUUCUGUAGACAGAGGAGACUUGGAAAGACUAGAGAGCGCUCCUGUCAUUCUGCGUCACAAAGAAAUUUGAAAAAAAUUACAAAUUGACCACUCUGGGUUUCUUUUUACUCCAACUCUAUUUCAACCUUGCUUCAGCUGGUGGAAAAGGCACAAAGUUUUUCUCAGUCACACCACUGGACAGAAUGCAAGUUCAGCUCCCAAUGAUCUCAUCAUAGUUCAAUCAUCAUAUCUAUGUAGCAGCUCAAAUGGUUUCGUAAAUAUCAUCCUAUUUAGUCUCAAGAAGAAAUCAAAAUCAAAGAUUGUUGGAGCAACUGGACUGUUUGUGAGCAAUUCUCCAGGGCAAUUCUAACUAUUUGCCCAUUUGCUCAGUUUUCAUUGUGCAUUCAUUGGGGGUGUCCAUAAUCUUGAAGCCUUAGCUUAAUUUGCAUUUGGGGUGAUCUCCCUGUAUAUUCUGGGCAGGCAACAAAUGGAAGCAGAUGAGAAAGAUGAAAAAUUGAGUUGAAGAUAUUCUUUAAAGUGGUGUAUAAAUUUGAAGUAAUGCCUUGGUUAAGGAAUAAUAGCAAUGAUACAUUUUGCAAAGACUGCUAAUAUUCCUAACAGUUUGGAACCAUUUUAAGAAGUAAAAAUGUCAGCCAAAUAUAACAUAAAAUCACCACUGAUGUUGGAAAACUUUUAUAGAAAUGACAUUCCUUCCAAAUUCCAUUGAUAGCGUUAAAUGAAUGUUCCACGUUUGUACCUCUUUUAGGCUCUCUCACCCUUUUGUAACUCCCGUUUUCCAUCGAUCGUAAACCGUCCCUUUUGUUCUACCCUCCCCAACUCUAUGCAUCUAAAAAUCUGUUAAUCUCGCUUACAAAUCUGAUGAAAGGACACAGACCUGAAAUGUUAAUUCUAUUUGUCUCUCCACAGAAUUUAGUUCAUUUAUUUUAGAGAUACAGCACAGUAACAGGCCCUUUCAGCCCAAUGACCCUGUGCUGUCCAAUGACACCUAUGUGGCUAAUUAACCUACUAAUCUGUACAUCUUUGGAAUGUGGGAGGAAACCCACAUGGUCGCGGGGGGGGAACGUACAAAUUCCUUACAGACAGCAGCAGGGAUUGAACUGGUUGUUGGCAUUGUAAUAGUGUUAUGCUGUUACACUAACAUGCCACCUAGAUGGUGUACCUCUACCCCUAAUAGGCAGUUGGAAGAAGGUUGCCAGGUGAAUGUAGUCUUCUCUGACCUCUCUUGUUCCCUCAUUGCUUUUCCUUCACUUUCACUAAAAACAUUUCUAAAGGCAAACUCAAUAUAUAGAUCUGCCAGAAUAAAUAUGUCCCAUAACACAUGGCAUAGGCCACCUUGCUGUGCUUGAUCAAGUUAGAAAAGAUAAAAGAAAAACAAAGCAUACCCUCAAAGUCAGAAACUUAUACUUUGAAUGUUGAAAAUCUGAAACAAAAACAACAUUCUGGAAAUACUGAUCCAAUUAGACAACAUCGGUAGAGACAGAAACAGAGUUAACAUUUCAGGUUAACAGCUUUCAUCAGCUGUCCCUGUUAACAGAGGUUCCCAAUCCUCAGUUACUGGUGGGGUGUAAGGCAUAAAAAAGGCUGGGAACCCUGCUUGAUAAUAAGGUUGGAAGUUCAAAUUUUAGUGUUCUCAAAUUGUAAAAUGUACUUUGGAUCAGGUGAGAGGUAUUGACCUGAAAUGACAACUUAACUAAAAAUUUGGAUGGGGGCUAAACGUAGAGAAAUCAGUUUUGAUGGUUUCCAUGCAUUCUCCAACUAAUUGUGACCACUUUGAUUAAAUGUGACCAGUUCGAAAGAAUGUAUCUUAGUUUACUUGUCUUUAAAAUAGUAUGUGAUUCCAUUGCACUUGACAAACAUAAUAAGUUGUAUGUAUAUCAUUAAUAACCCAGCAGUUCUUCCUACGAAGCAUCAAUAAUGCUUUAUGUAUAAUAUAAUGCUCAACCUGA